rnacentral:rRNA from 1 species
UACGGAGGGUGCGAGCGUUAAUCGGAAUUACUGGGCGUAAAGCGUGCGUAGGCGGUUCGUUAAGUCAGAUGUGAAAGCCCCGGGCUCAACCUGGGAACUGCAUUUGAUACUGGCUAACUAGAGUUUAAUAGAGGGGAGUGGAAUUUCAGGUGUAGCGGUGAAAUGCGUAGAUAUCUGAAGGAACACCAGUGGCGAAGGCGACUCCCUGGAUUAAAACUGACGCUGAGGUACGAAAGCGUGGGUAGCAAACAGG